CUGAUAUUAGUUCAGGGGAUAGAACAGCCCCCUCCUAAGGGGCAGACACUGGUUCGAAUCCAGUAUAUCAGA
rnacentral:tRNA from 1 species